rnacentral:rRNA from 1 species
CUUGGUCAUUUAGAGGAAGUAAAAGUCGUAACAAGGUUUCCGUAGGUGAACCUGCGGAAGGAUCAUUAAAAAAGUUUGGAUAUGAACUCUCAUUCCAAUCUCCACUCUGCGUACCUGUCCUCUGUAAGCUUCCGUUGGGCGUGGGUCUUCGGAUCCCCUCCUGUCCGGCCCAAUCGUGGCUGGAUUGGGAGAGUCUCGACGGGAGCCAAUAACAAACUCAAACCUUUAGUAUGUCAUGUCUGAAUAUGUUGCAAAGCAAUAUUUAAAACUUUCAACAAUGGAUCUCUUGGUUCUCGCAUCGAUGAAGAACGCAGCGAAAUGCGAUAAGUAGUGUGAAUUGCAGAAUUCAGUGAAUCAUCGAAUCUUUGAACGCACAUUGCGCCUCCUGGUAUUCCGGGAGGCAUGCCUGUUCGAGCGUCAUUAAAAACCACUCAAGCUCUUUUGCUUGGUCAUGGAAGAUGAGUGAGCUUGUCUCUCUCCCUUUCGAAAUUCAAAGGCGGAAAGCCCCAUGUGCACCGGCGUAGUAAGUUUUCUUUCGCUUUGGCCAUGAGGUGAUCCUGCCCCAAACCCCCAAUUUUUCUAGGUUGACCUCGGAUCAGGUAGGGAUACCCGCUGAACUUAAGCAUAUCAAUAAGCGGAGGA